AGAUUUCUGCCUUGUGCGUUAAGCACGGUCAUUAUAAAUCCAACACACAAUUAAAAGGGAACUGGGUCUCCGAGAAACGGAUUGCAGACCUCCCGGCAUACGCCGACUUUGUGCCGUGUAUGUACGGAUGUUGGGAGCGAGAAGUCAUUGGGCUGGUACCCACCUGCGAGAGCGGGUUUUAUCAACUGUGCGACGGCAAGGCGGUAAUAUU
rnacentral:other from 1 species